rnacentral:sRNA from 1 species
UACCACUGAGCUAAAUCCCCAACCUAAGACUCAGAUUUUUUAUUCUUAGACAAACACAAAUUUUUUUCUAAUGGGCAAAAAUCAUCUGAGAUGGCCAACGGGGAAUGUUUUACCUAACCACGUCAGAAUUUUAACUCAGCAAAAUCUUAAAAUGGAUCAACAUUUUCGCUUUUCAUCUUGCUCCUUCCUAUGAUACUGUUUCAUUUGAUCUGUACAGAUUGAGAGGCCGUAAAUCAUUCCUUCCUGACUCUUCUUCCCCUCUGUCCUGCCUUGUAAAUGUUUUUCUUUAUUCACUGUCAUCUGUGAACAUUUAAUCUGGUGUACUGUCUUUCUCCCUGUCCUUUUAUUACCCUCAAUUAGUGUUUAGAGGGGGACUUCAUUAGCUUUGUCCUGUGGCUGGACAUGGCAGCUGAAAGUGAGCUACAAAUGGUGCUAGACUUGCUCUUCCCUUUCUUCCCUUCUCUGUGGAAGUCCCCCCAGUUUCUCAGAGAUAUAGGUGUGAAGCCCUGAGCCAGCACACUCACAGGCAGAAAAGUGUGUUUAAGCAUUUCAGAAGGAAGGAUGUGAACUCCUUUAUGGACUGACAGAAGUGCAUUGCCCAUGAGUUCACACAGAUGGUGCUCUGAAGUCAUUCCUGAUGCCUUCUGUAAGUAGUUUCGUAAGCUUAAUGAAGUAGCUAGAAUAACUCUUUUAAUUAUUUCAUUACAUUUAUAUAAUCAAAUUGACUUAUUCUAACUUCAGUAUUAUCAACUGCACAGCAGUGCAGUAUACAAACACACACUAUCUAGCAUCAUGCUUAGAAGGCAAAGGGAAACCUUCUUUGAAAUGGUUUUGUAUCUCUUGAAUUGAUAAUAUAAACAAAAUGGACGAAACCAAAGUAAGUGUAUAUUCCCCGGAUAUUUUCUGCUUCUCAUUAGAUGAUCAUAACUCAUACUGUUCCUAGACACUACUCAGAGUGCUGCCAUUCUAUUAAUGGUCGUAUGGUAAGUACAGGCUUUAGAGAAAAAGAAACUGUAUGUAGUGUCACUUUUAAAAUGUUUACUUUUGCAACUGACAAAACAUGCAAGCUGUUAAUAAACUGUGCACUCCUGUCCAGUAGAAUGACUGUUCGUUCUAUCAGGCCUCUCGUAGAGAGUAUGUUUGUCCCCGUGGCCCAUAGUGUCCCCCUCACCCCCAACAAAUGAAUAGGCAUUCUCAUUUGGUUUUGGCUAAACGACUUAUGUUAACACAAAAACACGGUGCAUAGCAGGAAAUUAACUCUGGCUUAAUUCUGAGUUUAAGGAAGGAAAAGCUAACACCACCAGAAUGGGUGUGCAUUUAGAAAAAAUAAUGAAUGUUGGUACAAAAAUAGCUUUGAAAAUUUGUUUUCUGAAUUGCUUCCUUCCUCGGCAGUGACGAUCAUAGCAGGCACCAGAUUCCACAUUUUAAAGUGUUGGCUUUGUUUGUUUCUGCCUCAGGGUGCUUGUGCCUCGCACUGACUUUUCUCGAUGGUGCACCUAUAUUAAAGUGUGUACGUUUUUCUUCACUGAGAUAAGAAGGUACUAUGAGGCUGCUGGGUGGUGAGUCAAUAGGGCAGAGAGGUUAAUUAGAUAAUAGAUUAUGGUGCGAACUCCAGAUGAUCAAAAUACCAUAUGGAGAACUGGUUACGCAUAAUGAGAAUUAUUUUAAAGGCCUGCGUAUUCUAUACUAUGGGAAAGGUUUGUGGUAAUUUUACUAUUUUUCCUUGUUCUUACAGAGACCGUUCUCUUUGGAAGCGUGUCUGAGCAAUUGCACACUGAAAUAGUAGGUUUUACAUUAUGCUUCUAGGAAACUAUUCUGUUGGGAGCUCAACCAAGAUGUUCUGCUGCUAAAAAUAAAAUAAUAACAGAUUUUUCUAAACUGUGACUAAAAACAAGUUAGGAAAAAUACAGUUUUGCCUGAAUUUCAAGCUCCUCUUCUCUGUCAUUUUACUGUCAUUGCUUCAGCUUGCCUACUGACAUGUACUAAGAAGGAUGACAAAAUGAAGGACCCCAGGGGACACACCCUGUAAGACAAACCUUGUCAUGCCAACUCUCAGAUGCACGCUUCCAACCGUUAUACACGGACAAUCCUAUUUCUGAAAUCAUAUUUCCUCUUCAUUCUUUUAAUUUAAUUUCUGUCAUAUAAAUUUUUACCAAUAUUAUAGUUUUUACAUGUUUAGGUACAUAAGCCCAACUGAAAGACACUGAAAUAAAAUGCUAUUAUUUACUCGCCUUUGUUUCUGAAUAUAAAUAGUAAGAUUUUUUUUUCAAAAUAAAAUUGGGAAAAAUAUCUGAUGGACAGGCUCAUACUCUUCAGGUUUCUGAAGUAUAGUAAAGAACACAAAGACGUGAGAAAAUACAUUAUCCCAUGUCUGUGUUGGCAGUUAUUUUCAACAAGUAAGUGAUACUAUUAAUGGCUGCAUAUCUAAUUUAGCUGGAGACCUUGAAGAUAGCCUCUGGUUUGCAUUCCAUUAAGAGUUUUUAAUAAGAUUUCAACAAAAAUAAUAAUAAAUGCAUCCCACUUCACCUUUGCUUCUCCUUAACAAUUCAAAGUAUCAAUUAUAAUAUAACCUUCAUUUGACUCACAACCAUCCCUGUACUCUCAACAGCGCAUUAAGUUGUGUGCCAACGCUUAAAGUGCAAAAUAAAUGUCUUGUUUUAUCUCGUAACUUUAGUUCCAUUUUAAAGUGACCCCUCAAAUGUCUAACACUCAAUUAAACUUUCUGUAAGAAACAAUUUUUCUAAACACUGGGCAUCUUUAAAAGCCGAAAGAUGCAUUUUCCCCAAUCUUCAAGCGGCACAGUCUCUCUGUGCAUUCUCUAGCUUCUAAUGUGCUCCCAGGAAUGCUAUUCUUGGGAUAGCAUGACUGCUCUCUGUCUGCAAGCCAUAUCUCGGGAGUCCUGACCCCAGCGCUCACAGAAAAAAAUAGGCUGAAGCCUGGUAUCAAAGAAAGGCGAGACUUACGGAAGCUUCCAGAACUCUGUCCUCCUUUAAAGAGGAGCACAGAUUAAUAAAGGAAAUAAUAGAAUUUGAAAGAUUAAGAAAAAUGAGAGCAUCCAGAAAAAAGCCAGAGGUAAAAAUGGGAAAACCACCUGACAUUUGGGAACAGAUUUCAUAGUUCUUAGGAAGAUCUCUCCUACCCAUGCUUCUUCAGUUGAUCAGCAAUAAACCAUAUGUUUUUUUCCCCAGCUGCAUUUCCCAGUGUGCUGCAGAGGAUUGAUUACAUGAAAGUGUCUGAGUUUUUACCCACAGGGCCUGUUUAUUGAGGAAGAGUCUUUCUUCUUCCCCUGGAGCCCCCUAACUCCUGGAGAAUAGCAGCGCAGGGAUGUGAUGCUUCUGGAAGACCAGCUGAGGCCAUUCAUCUGGAGGGCUGUGAAUGUUUUGGGCUCAGAUGGCUGGCUAGCUGGGAGAAGAUUAAUGAAAAGCAGAGGCUUGGAUAAAGCAGAAAUGGAUGAGUGUGCCACUCUAGUCCCAGAGAAACAGAUGGAUACCCAGACAAGGGAGGCGAUCAGAAGUUUACUCACUCAGGACUAAAUAAUUGAUACGGAGGAAAGGCCUUGGCCGUCAGCGACAAAUCCAGAUUUCAAGCUAUAUUGGGCACUGCAUUGGUGACGGUGGAGUGCCGGUGGCUGUUUUGAAUGAAUGAUACCCACCUUUCGGGGACUCUUAAUGGUGUGGCCGAUAGUCUGAAAUGGGGCCGGACGUGGGAUGGGUCCUGGCUUGAAUGGUAGAGACAAGCCACAGGGAGGUACAGUGUCUGCCUGCAUGGCUCAGUCUCUGAACAGCUGCUUUUAUAUCUGAGCACAAGGAGAAAAGUACACUCCCAGCUGAACUAUUUAACCAACACAUUUAUUUUUAAACUGCAGUUGAACUGCCACUUGGCUAGUCAUACAUUCUUACAUAAAGCAUGGGGAAACAUAAUGGCUUUAUUGCUAAAAUGCUGGUAAACAAUUGGUAAAGAAAUAAAUACAAAUAUGGCUUGUGAACUUGUGUUACUCCGAGCCCUUGACUGGCUCUCACUGUUGCUCAGCUCACAGUAUCAUGAACCCAAGACAAUAAAUGCCAGUCCUCUCUUGAUUGCACAUUAGCCCAAUAGAUAUUUUAUUGGCACUAAAUAGGCCACCACAAGGACACUGGUGUGUCUGCUGCUGGACUUGGUUAAGAAGGGGAGGAACAAAGCUUUGCUUUGCUUGGGAGGAGGAGGCAAGCUGAGGAGUCAAUUCAAAGGCAUAGGUGAAGGCGGGUGCAACCCGACAGCAGUUCGGUGUGGGGACUGUGUUGCUGUAAUAGAUGACUAUGUGUCGAUGCACAUUAAUAUUUGAUGAGCAUCGCCGUAUUAUCUUUUAUGUGCACUUCCACACUGUUGUGAGGCAGCGAGGUUGCUUUAGACAAGGAUUUAUAUGGGCAAGGGCAGUGGCUUUUACUUGGUGAAAUUAGCACACAUCCUGCUCUUAGGACGUCAAAAGGGACGCUUGUGUUUAUACUGCAUAAACAGGCAGAGGCUGGGUCUAGACUUCUUUAAAACACUAUUAUCUUGAGUGCAUAAACAAGGCAGGCAAAAUAGUUCCUCUUAAGUGGCACACGGAUGCAUUUUGUAUUCUGCUCCUUGGAAACAAAGAUUCAAUUUCUGUCAUUAUAAAAGACCCCGGAAACAGAUCUGGGAGUAAAAGCAUAUGCAUUGUGGAGAGACCAAUGGAGAAAACACUUAGAUCUACAAAGGCUCCUGCUCACGGUUUUCUUUCUUUUUCUGGAAACUGAAUACAACUACUGUGUAGCAUUAUUUGUUCACACAAUGCAUGACCACAUGCACAACGCAUUAAAAGGGCACAGUCCUCCAACCUCGCCAUAGAAAAACAGAUCCCCUCCAAACCCACCCCAAACAUAAAUGCCAGUGAAACACGUUCUCCAGACAUGCUUCGGCUGUCCUGUCCUCUCAUGUGUGAUAGUUCACACAUGACAAUGACCUAAAUAAGAUAUUUGAAGAAAGUAGAAGGAACUGAUGCUUAUAGGGAGGGUAGUCCACGAUAACCCAGAACAUCAAAAUGAGGAAAAUUAGUGAGUUCGGCUAAUGGAGAGAACAGGCUCUGGAAUGAUAAAGACAGCCUAUCUUAAUCUUACAGCAUUUGAAGAAAAUAUGGAGGCCAUACCACAUACUUUUUAUUUUCACAAAACUGCUCAAAAUUAAAAUCAAAGUUCCAUUGAAUGAUUCCUUUAUUUACUUACAGAAAAGUAUGCACUCAGUGAUAAUUAUUAGUAGCAUAGUAUAUGCAACAAGGGAAUGACAGGUUUUAUAUGAGGAAAGUAUAAUCCUUAGGGAGAUGUAGUCUACAAGAUAAUGUGAACAUAUCUAACUGUGAUGGCUAAUGUUGACUGUCAGCUAAGUCUGGAAAGGAACCAUAACUCAAAAAUUGGCUUCCAUCAGAUUGGACUGUGGGUAUAUCUGCGGAAUAUUUUCUUGAUUGCUAAUUGAUGUAGGAGGGUCCAGUCCAUUCUCUGCGGUCACCACCAUCCCUAGGCAGCUGGGUCUAUGCUAUAUAAGGCAGCUGAACAGUCACUGAACAAACCUCUAUGACUCCUGCCUUCAGCUUCUUUCCUUGAGUCCUUGCCCUGAAUUUUUUAAUGGUGGUUGGUCACUUAGAAAUGUGAGAUGAAAUUAACCCUUUCCUCCACAAGUUGUUUUAGACAAAGGAUUUCAUCACAGAAAACAACAAACAAAAAAUCUGGAAGAGGAAAAGUCUAUUUUGCUUUCUUUCUUUCUUCCUGUCUUUCUGUCUGCCUAUCUAUCCAUCUAUCUAUCCAUCCAUCCAUCCAUCUAUCCACCCACCCAUCCAUCAUUUAUUACAAGGGAAAAAGGAACAAUUUCCAGAUGUAAGUAAGUGUGGUAUCGAUUACCCCUGCCUCUUGGUAUUGUUUUUCUUCUAUAGUUCCAUCACCUUUAAUGUGGAGCUGAUUCUGGAAACUUUUUACUACAGUAAAAUUGAUAGAUACAUGGGACCUGUGCAUGCAUGGCCUGUAUAUAUUAUCCUCCAUCUGGAACUCUUAAUUAUUAUCUUCAAGUUUUUUAAGUAACUUCAAGAGAAACAGUGGAUUGUAUGUAUGACUGUGACAGCCAUAUCCAGAGGUACUUGCCAGACAUUUCACAUAUGAUGUGCUCAGGGCUUCAAGCACAUAGUGUUCCAGUAGCUCUCAGAGUCAUGGGAGUUUGUUGAUGCUUAAAACAAAUCUGAGGUAAACCAAUUAUUUCGAUAGUCAAUUAUAUAGGCGUGCUAUCAGCUUCAAGAAGCCUAUUCUGUUCAAACCAGAGGAAACAUAGAAACACAGAAAGCCAUGUCCUAAGAAAUGCAAAUGACAAAGGGACCUUAUGGUUUGGAUGUAUUACUACUUCCCUGAAUUGUCCAACUACUUAUUCUGCAAAUUAUGGUAAAGAGAAAAGAUUAGGCAGAUUUUGCUCCUCAUGGUAGAAAGCUAGUUUUUUACUUCAGAGUUUCUCAGGUCAGGAAUGUGGGAAAUAGAGGAUUUCCUUCUUGCCUUACCCUUGCCCUUGAGAGAACCAGGAGAGGAUGAAGAGGAAGAAAAAGGAGGAGGAGGGAGGACAGAGAGAGAG